rnacentral:rRNA from 1 species
AGUGGACGCUGGCGGUAGGCCUAACACAUGCCAGUCGAACGGCAGCACAGUAAGAGCUUGCUCUUACGGGUGGCGAGUGGCGGACGGGUGAGGAAUACAUCGGAAUCUACUUUUUCGUGGGGGAUAACGUAGGGAAACUUACGCUAAUACCGCAUACGACCUACGGGUGAAAGCAGGGGAUCUUCGGACCUUGCGCGAUUGAAUGAGCCGAUGUCGGAUUAGCUAGUUGGCGGGGUAAAGGCCCACCAAGGCGACGAUCCGUAGCUGGUCUGAGAGGAUGAUCAGCCACACUGGAAGUGAGACACGGUCCAGACUCCUACGGGAGGCAGCAGUGGGGAAUAUUGGACAAUGGGCGAAAGCCUGAUCCAGCCAUACCGCGUGGGUGAAGAAGGCCUUCGGGUUGUAAAGCCAUUUUGUUGGGAAAGAAAAGCAGCAGGUUAAUACCCCGCUGUUCUGACGGUACCCAAAGAAUAAGCACCGGCUAACUUCGUG